AGGUUUGUUUCUAGGCUGACAAGAAUGUUCUAGAAUGGACUGCGGUGAUGUUUGUGUAACCUGUGCCAUACCGAACAUGACUAGACCGUUUACUUUAAAUGGGUAGACUGGAGAGCAGUGAUUGCGUUUGAGCAAAACUGGAAGGCAUCACCUGUAUGAGAGAUCUGUAUUUACUCAGGGCUGUGUCUUCAUUGGCUCGUGGUGGCUGCAGGGACAUCCAACAGUUGGCUAGAUGAUGUCCACUCUGGGACAGCCCUUCUGGUUCCUGGAUGUCAAAGGAUUCUGCCUCAAGCCAAAGUGCAUUCUGUACCAUCCAGAGGUCUGGCGUCAUUGGAAAUGGAUGGUGCUUGUUGGGGGAUGGGCUGAGGGUGAGGGAUAGGUUUCAGAUGGGCAGAGAAGUACUAUCAAGAAAGAGCUUCGAGGUGUGGAGAAGAGAGUCCUUUCAGAUAAGAGUGUGACAGGUGGUCAUGUGACCAGACGAGAUUAGACCCGGAGCUCCUGGAGAGGAAGAGGAUGAGUAAUUCAUUGCCGUGUGCUGGGUCCUCAGCCCAGGAGCUGGCUGGAAGCAGGUACAUAGUGAACUCAUGAAUGAACUCCAUGACGAGAGCAGACUCGAAGGCUGACUGAAAGAGCAGGGAGAGCAUCCAUCCGUAGGAGUUGAGCUCAGGUGCAGAGCAGGGAGGGUCUGCAAAAGGGCAGCUUCCUUCAGGAUGAUGGGGGCAGGUCCUCCAAAGGCUGCUGGGACCAGGUGUGAACUUAGACUCUGUGACAAGGAGUCGAUUAAUGAUGUCUGAGCGGAGGCCUGGGCAAUGCUGUAGAAUGUGCUGUAGCCAGGCUAUGGCUAUGUGGAGGAUCGAUGUAGAGCCAGCAUCGGGGCAGAGGCUGCUCAGAUUAGAGUCAGCAAGGACUGAAUGAAGCCAGUAGCAUCAGGGCCAAGGCAGGGCCAGAGGCAGAGACACUGGGUCACUUCCAAGGCAUAGUGAAAACUCCAAAAUGAAAUGUAUCUUCUAACUACUUUAUUUGUUUGGCAGAGCGGUAACUAUUAGAGGAAGCACUCACCAGUAAAUCUAAGAGGUCUGUGGCUGGGAGCUGCAGCCACCAUGCUGUGACGGUGAUUGAAGGAAUUCCCCCAAUCAUGGGUAACAAGAGAUCAGGGACUCAAAAGUCCAAUGCUCCACAGUGUGGCCGCAGUCCAAAGCUGUCAACGUGUGGACCCUAGACCAUGUUCAGUGGCCUCUGAUAGGCAGCAGUCGCUCUGGACCAGGCUUGAGAUUGACACGGAUGUCCCUGGGUGAGGGCCCUCUGUCAGCCACAGGGGAGAUCCCAAAACACCACAAUGGACCAACCCAGACAAGGCAGACCAGUGAAAGAGGUGUGAAAGUCUCAUUCUCCUGGAGAGACUUGUAAUUAGUGCUAGAGCUCUCACUUGUGAGUGUUUGGUCUCACAGAAGUUCUGAGCCAACUCUGUGCUUUACUUUUCUCCUCUGUGAAGCAGGACUAGUGAGUACACUCACUGAGUGGUUUUGGGGAUCCUGUGAAUUGCUGAAUUCUGGAUGCUCUAAACUGAUCUGUGCACUCAGGAGGCUGAGAUAGGACUGUGAGCUUGAGGCCAGUCUUCAGUCAGUACACACACACACACACACACACACACACACACACCCCACAGACACAAACACACACAGAGACACACACAUACACACACACAGAGACACAAACACAUACACACACAUACACACACAGGCACACAAACACACACAUACACACACAGACACACAUACAGACACACACACACAGAGACACAGACACACACAGAGACACAAACACACACACAGACACACACAGACACAUACAGACACACACACACAGAGACACAAACACACAGAGACACAAACACAUACACAUACACACACAGAGACACACACACACAUACACACACAGACACAAACACACACACAUACACACACAGACACAAACACACACACAUACACACACACAGAGACACAGACACACACAGAGAGACACACACACAGACACAAACACACACAGACACACAGACACACACACACACACACACACAGAGAGAGAGAGAGAGAGAGAGAGAGAGAGAGAGAGAGAGAGACCUUGUCUCAAGACAAACCAAAAACCUUGUGUAUACUCAGCUUCAUGGAGAUGUUGGCUGUGUUAUUACUAAAACAGAGACAGAACUAGACAGGAACCUGAGCCAUUUAGAGUGUCUCCCGUUACUCCUGUUAAACAGGCAUGGAAGCAGGAACAAGAUUCGGCUUUGAGGGGUUGGGGAUUUAGCUCAGUGAUAGAGCGCUUGCCUAGGAAGCUCAAGGUCCUGGGUUCGAUCCCCAGCUCCGAAAAAAAGAACCAAAAAAAAAAAAAAAAGAUUCGGCUUUGAAUUUGUGUUUCAGUGCAGGUCAGAUACACAACUAGGGCUAUUUGACAUAAAAUUAAACUUACCGAGUUUAGCAACCAUUUGCAAAGCAGUUCCUGUGUGCCAUAUUUGAUGUGAUGGCUCUGAAGUAACAGGGGACUGAGCAGUUCCUGCUCUUAAUGCCAUGAAAACCUGAUCACAGAUGUUCUUGUGUUGUGAGUGGCUGUCAAUGAUGGUCAAAGUGACCACAUUUAAGGGGUAAAACCUCAGGGAAUUAGAGGAAAAACAGCCCAGUCAUACAUAGAGAGGGGGUCCUGGCAGGGCCUUUGCAGGGUUUCUCACCCCCCAUCUUCCUGGACUCCCUUCUUCAGAGGCUACUCUUUCAGUUCCACUGGGGUUUCAGCGCUCUCUGUCCUUUGCACAGUUUCCUCAUUAGCCAGGAUCUGUAAGGGUGGGAGGGGAAGGAGGUACAGUGUGGGAAGGUGGAUGCAGUCAUGAGAAAAGGCAAGGACAUGGCCCCUGAUUUGUUGUUCUUGCCCUUCUUCCUUUUGUACCCCCACCAGGUGACUCAUGUGUUUGGCUCCGGGCAAACCCAUAGCCUUUGUCACCCAGUGGAGUAUACUGAUCAGGGUGCGCACUCUUUCUCUGAGGAGGGAGUCUGCUUUGAGCUGAGGCGCCAGCUCACAGAUCAGACCUGGUUUCCUGAAACUCUAUCACAAAAAUUCCCCGAGCCAAAGGAGAGGGAGUUACCUGGAAAGGGAGAGCAACGAGUUGCCAAGAGUUUCAGAAUCCUGGGGCGUAUGAAGCAUUCAAGCUGCAUCCUGAAACCUGUCAGAUUCGAUGUUUUGUCGGGGACAGGAUUCUGAGCACUGGUCACCCUCAGAGGUUAUUUUAGGGGGAAUACUGUCACCUCAUCCCCUCAGCCACCAAGUCAGAAAUUCUCAGAGACUACGGUGGUCAUCAGAGGUGCUGCUACUUAAGGCUUGGUGCCACAAGGGUGGGUGCGGUAGGGUGGGGUGGAGGUGGGGUUCUGGUGCUCAGAUCCCCUGCUCUGGCCAGAAAAUACAUCCACAAAGUUGUGCAAUCAUCAACAGUGUCUGGUUCUAGAAUUUUCAUCACCUCAGAAGGAGGCCCCGUACCCACACUGUAAUGUCUCCUCACAGUUACUCCUUAGUUUCAUGCUCCAGGAACCUCUAACCUUUUUUCUAUUAUGGUGGGCUUGCCUGUUAUGUGAGUUUCCCAUAAACGCACCCAUUUGUGAUUGGCUUCUUUCUCUUAGAGUAACAUCUUCAAAGUUCAGUCACGUCGUAGCCUGGAUCGGUGCUUCAUUUUUUUCACGGCUGAAGAAAAAUAAUUCAUUGUAUGGUAAUACUAUGUAUGCUUUGUUUAGCCAUUCAAAAGUUGAUGGGCAUUCGGGCAGUUUUUAGCUUUUGGUUAUUGGGAGCAGUGGUGCUAUGAACAUGCCCCCUGGCACAGCAGUCCACAAUACAGGGGGGAGUACACUGUGCAUUUUUUCUCCCAAAGCCAUCUUGCCGCACAGGGGGAGUUACUGCCACAUCACAUUCCCCCACUGGAUGGAAGGUUUUCUGAAACCAGGGGUUUCGUUUCUAUACAGGAUGGCCAGUCUGUUGUCAUGGGGCUGUCUGGCUUUCCACGUGGUUUCGACUUUGGCUCUCUACCCACGCCCCGCAGCUGGGUUUGGAGCUCAUACUGCGUCCCACUUCUCUCUGUUGUCUUCCUGUUUUCUCAUGCUUUUUAGCUGUCACACAGACAUUCUUUCUUGAUGCUCUUUUCCAUGUUCUCUUUACUUUUGGACACAGGGUCUCAUGUAGCUCAGGCUGGCCUGGAACAUACUGUGUAGACAAGGAUGACCUUAAAGUCCUGAUCCUCCAACAAUGCUUAGUCCAGGUUAUGUGUCAACAAGUGCUUUACCAUCUCUUCCGCCACCACUCCUCAACUGCGCAGGCGCAAUGCCUCUCCCAUCGUCUUUUCCGCCACUACUCCUAGACUGCGCAGGCGCAAUUCUUUUCUUUUCUUUCUUUUUUAAAUGCCUGAUAGUGGAGGUACUUGUGGCUGCUAGAAACUGUUAGUGAUUCGCGUGCGCUGUUUACGGAGUGUGUUAGCGAUGGCGACAGCGGAGGAGAAGCGGACGUCACCGGAGCCCGCGGCCGCGGAGAAGCCCGCGGAGCUGCCGGCCGCCGUACGCGCGAGCGUGGAGCGGAAGCGGCAGCGGGCGCUGAUGCUGCGCCAGGCCCGGCUGGCGGCGCGGCCGUACCCGGCGGCGGCGGCCACCGGAGGCGUGACCAGCAUAAAAGCAGCUCCCAAAGUGAUUGACACCAAAGGUGGCUUCAUUUUAGAAGAGGAGGAAGAAGAGAAACACAAGAUUGGAGAUGUUGUUCAUGAACCAGGGCCCGUCAUGGAGUUUGAUUACACCAUCUGUGAAGAGUGUGGGAAAGAGUUCAUGGACUCGUAUCUUAUGAACCACUUCGAUUUGCCAACAUGCGAUAGCUGCAGAGAUGCUGAUGAUAAACACAAGCUUAUAACCAAAACAGAAGCCAAGCAAGAAUACCUUCUGAAGGACUGUGAUUUAGAGAAAAGAGAGCCAGCGCUCAGGUUCAUUGUGAAGAAGAACCCUCGCCAUUCACAGUGGGGCGAUAUGAAGCUCUACUUAAAGCUACAGGUGUCUAGUUGUAAAGCGGGCUCUUGAAGUUUGGGGUAGCCAGGAAGCUCUGGAAGAUGCAAAGGAAGUGAGGCAGGAAAACCGAGAAAAAAUGAAGCAGAAGAAGUUUGAUAAAAAAGUAAAAGAACUGCGGCGAGCAGUAAGAAGCAGUGUAUGG